CUUAGGGUGCUCUGUUAAUGGGGUAGGAUCCGAGACUCCUUUCGGGAUUACACAGGCUCUCCUACCCAUCUCCUAUUCCGUCACCUAAACUAAACAGGAGGUGGGGACUGCCUAUACGAAGGGGG
rnacentral:ribozyme from 1 species